rnacentral:rRNA from 1 species
AUUGAACGCUGGCGGCAGGCCUAACACAUGCAAGUCGAACGAGUGGCGGACGUGUGAGUAAUGUCUGGGAAACUGCCUGAUGGAGGGGGAUAACUACUGGAAACGGUAGCUAAUACCGCAUACCAUCAGAUGUGCCCAGAUGGGAUUAGCUGGUUGGUGGGGGAACGGCUCACCAAGGCGACGAUCCCUAGCUGGUCUGAGAGGAUGACCCGCCACACUGGAAUUGAUGCCCGUGCCAGAUUCCUACUGGAGGCAGCAGGUGGGAAUAUUGCACAAUGGGCGCAAGCCUGAUGCAGCCAUGCCGCGUCUAUGAAGAAGGCCUUCGGGUUGUAAAGUACUUUCAGCGGGGAGGCGUUACCCGCACAAGAAGCACCGGCGAACUCCGUGCCAGCAGCCGCGGUAAUUC